CCAAUAGCAUAUAUUAAAGUUGUUGCAGUUAAAAAGCUCGUAGUUGAAUUUCGAGAUCGACUUAUUGGUCGUGCUUUUGUACGUACUGGUAUAAUUGAUUUCUCCUUUCUGACGAACUAUAAUGUCAUUAAUUUGGUGUUAUGGGGAAUCAGGACUGUUACUUUGAAAAAAUUAGAGUGUUUAAAGCAGGCUCACGCUUGAAUACAUUAGCAUGGAAUAACGGAAUAGGACGUUUGAUUCUAUUUUGCUGGAUUCUAGGAUCGACGUAAUGAUUAAUAGGGAUAGUUGGGGGCAUUAGUAUUCAAUUGUCAGAGGUGAAAUUCUUGGAUUUAUUGAAGACUAACUACUGCGAAAGCAUUUGCCAAGGAUGUUUUCAUUAAUCAAGAAUGAGAGUUAGGGGAUCAAAGACGAUCAGAUACCGUCGUAGUCUUAACCAUAAACUAUGCCGAUUAGGGAUCGGAUGAUGUUAAUUUUAAUGACUCAUUCGGCACCUUAC
rnacentral:rRNA from 1 species